AACGAACGCUGGCGGCAGGCUUAACACAUGCAAGUCGAGCGCCCCGCAAGGGGAGCGGCAGACGGGUGAGUAACGCGUGGGAAUCUACCCAUCACUACGGAACAACUCCGGGAAACUGGAGCUAAUACCGUAUACGUCCUUCGGGAGAAAGAUUUAUCGGUGAUGGAUGAGCCCGCGUUGGAUUAGCUAGUUGGUGGGGCAAUGGCCUACCAAGGCGACGAUCCAUAGCUGGUCUGAGAGGAUGAUCAGCCACACUGGGACUGAGACACGGCCCAGACUCCUACGGGAGGCAGCAGUGGGGAAUAUUGGACAAUGGGCGCAAGCCUGAUCCAGCCAUGCCGCGUGAGUGAUGACGGCCCUAGGGUUGUAAAGCUCUUUCGCAGGUGAAGAUAAUGACGGUAACCCGAGAAUAAGCUCCGGCUAACUCCGUGCCAGCCGCCGCCGUAAGAC
rnacentral:rRNA from 1 species